rnacentral:pre_miRNA from 1 species
AAACUACUCCCUCUAUCCCAAAUUUCUUGUCUUAGAUUUGUCUAGAUACGGAUGUAUCUAAUACUAAAAUGUGACUUGAUACAUCCGUAUCUAGACAAAUCUAAGACAAGAAUUUUGGUACGGAGGGAGUACUUU